rnacentral:rRNA from 1 species
AACUUGGUCAUUUAGAGGAAGUUAAAGUCGUAACAAGGUUUCCGUAGAUGAACCUGCGGAAGGAUCAUUAAUGAAUUACAAGUCGGUCAUCUGUGCUGGCAGAAAUGCAUGUGCACGUUGAUCGCAAAUCCAUACACAUGUGCACCUUUGACUCUGAGAUCUGCAGGCCUGGCUUGCAGCCGGUUAACUUAGGUUGGCCUGGAUCUCAAAGUAUUUUUACACACUCUACUUGUGAUGGAAUGUUGAUGUGCAUAAUGCGCAAAAAUACAACUUUCAACAACGGAUCUCUUGGCUCUCGCAUCGAUGAAGAACGCAGCGAAAUGCGAUAAGUAAUGUGAAUUGCAGAAUUCAGUGAAUCAUCGAAUCUUUGAACGCACCUUGCACCCUUUGGUAUUCUGAAGGGUACACCCGUUUGAGUGUCAUUGUAAUCUCACUCCUUCAAUCUUGAUGUCGUUGGAUGUGGACUUGGACCUUGUCGUGUCACAAAUGACUGGUCUUAAAUGUAUGAGUGCACCCUGCAGUCGCAGCAUCUUCAGUGUGAUAAGCAUCUUCACUGGAACAAAGUCCUCGGGACAUGUAUGCAUUGUGGGCUCUGUGCUGGCAAAAAGUCUUAGGACAAUCUUUGACAAUUUGACCUCAAAUCGGGUGGGACUACCCGCUGAACUUAAGCAUAUCAAUAAGCGGAGGAAAAGAAACUAACAAGGAUUCCCCUAGUAAC